rnacentral:rRNA from 1 species
GACGAACGCUGGCGGCGUGCUUAACACAUGCAAGUCGAACGGAAAGGCCCUGCUUUUGUGGGGUGCUCGAGUGGCGAACGGGUGAGUAACACGUGAGUAACCUGCCCUUGACUUUGGGAUAACUUCAGGAAACUGGGGCUAAUACCGGAUAGGAGCUCCUGCUGCAUGGUGGGGGUUGGAAAGUUUCGGCGGUUGGGGAUGGACUCGCGGCUUAUCAGCUUGUUGGUGGGGUAGUGGCUUACCAAGGCUUUGACGGGUAGCCGGCCUGAGAGGGUGACCGGCCACAUUGGGACUGAGAUACGGCCCAGACUCCUACGGGAGGCAGCAGUGGGGAAUAUUGCACAGUGGGCGGAAGCCUGAUGCAGCAACGCCGGGUGCGGGAUGACGGCCUUCGGGUUGUAAACCGCUUUCGCCUGUGACGAAGCGUGAGUGACGGUAAUGGGUAAAGAAGCACCGGCUAACUACGUG